rnacentral:rRNA from 1 species
UACGUAGGGUGCAAGCGUUGUCCGGAAUUAUUGGGCGUAAAGAGCUCGUAGGCGGUCUGUCGCGUCUGCUGUGAAAACUCAGGGCUUAACCCUGAGCUUGCAGUGGGUACGGGCAGACUAGAGUGCGGUAGGGGAGACUGGAAUUCCCGGUGUAGCGGUGAAAUGCGCAGAUAUCGGGAGGAACACCGGUGGCGAAGGCGGUUCUCUGGGCCUGUACUGACGCUGAGGAGCGAAAGCGUGGGGAGCGAACAGG